CCUAGGGGAACAAUAGACAUCUCUGUGUGAGGAUACACUCAACAGGAAACAAUUGCAUUGAGAAGAAUAUCUCAAACUAAAUAUGAAUUCUAACAAAUUUUAUUACUUUGAAAAGAUGCACAAGUAGAAUAUUUCAAUUUUUGUUCGUCUGGAGGAGUGUUCCAAACCACUACUGUUGGGUGCAGAAGAGCCCAGACUAGAGAAGAGUCGGAGAGAAGGAUCACCAAGCAGACGGCAAAGUUGGUGAGUGAACCCAACAUUUCCAAGGACAAGUCUGAGGAGGGGAUGUCCUGGCUGUCCAGGAAGAGUCAAAAUGACGAUCACCCUACCCUUAACUCACAGGCUACGUCAGGAUACGAGUCCAACAUCUCAGAAGUAUUCCAAAGAGUUCCGACGAUUGACUUCAAAGACUUCAAAGAUUACCUGCCCAGAUCACAGAUGGAUCUGGAAGAAGCAGAAGUAUCAGGACUUGACACAUCUGACUUGAGCCUCCAACCUGAUACUGCAAAACAAGAUGUUUGGCGUAAAGUCAGUGAGAAGAUUGAGGAAGUGAAGAAGAGUAUCAGUGAGAAAAUAGACAGCCUAGAGACAGAGCUGCAGAAAUCCACAUUUUCUGGUGACUGAAUGCUAGUUUGAUUACUAUUCCCGAGAAGUAAGUCCUACAUGUUUGUGUACAUUUGUGUCAUACAUAAUGUUAGAGUUGAGUUAUGUAAAUCUCCUGGUUCUGUUCUUGUAUUGGCCUGCAUCUGAAGUAUCUCAAAUAUGACAUCCAUCUGCAUUGUUCAUUGCCAUUGUGUCAGUGGUGCAUUUGCUGGUGUGAGAUGCCAGGGUGCUUAAUUGACAAUUACACGCACCUGUGUGGAGGCAGGUUUUAAAAGCCAAACCAACUUGCGAUACAGUCCCAGCCCCGAGUACCAAAUGAGAUUUGUCCUUAGAAGUCUAGUGGGGCUACAUGCCCCCAAGUUUCGUAUGCCCUGGUGUUUGGGUGGCACAUGGUUGGCUUUUGAAUCAUCAUGAUCAGACCCAUGAGACUAAAUACAGACUAAGAAAAAAGAUAUUUGAGCAUGGCCUAUUGAGUGCCUGGACCAUUAGGCUAUGGAAUUGAUAGUUGUCAAACAAUUGACAGAAAAAAGAGCUUUCUUCACAAAUGCAUCGGCCUAUUUUUAUAUUCUAAAGUUAUAGUCCGGGGCCUCAUUUAAAAAAAAAAAAAAAAAAAACAUCCUAACUGCUUGUGCUUUUCUAAUAUCUUCAGCUAAAAUGGGAUUUCUCAACCUGAAUGCAGUUUGGAAACAUGCUUCUGUAAUACCAAAAAUCCUAAAUGCCGCCCUUAACUGAGAUAAGAUUUCAGUUAUAAAGUAUGAGGCCCCAGCUAAAUGUGGCCUCCAGUUCCAUGGCACAAACUUAACUUGUUAAAUUUUGCCAGAAGAGUAUUCAAGUUUGUGGAUGUUCAUUGUACAAAUCAGUACACAUUGGUUAUUGAAGGAGGCAUAAACAGAUUAGGUUCAUUUAAACUUUUACUAAAGGGCUUUUGCCAAAAAAUAAAAAAUAAAAAUAGAAGGAACAUCAGAAGAACCAGACGCCAAAAAUGGACUUGCAGUCUUCUUUCCCAUCUCCAGUCCGAGGUCCAUCCAAGCACUUUUUCACACUUUGUCAUAUGUUGAAAUCUGUGUUGUCACCUUCUCCUGUGCCGACUUUAGCUCUGAUACUGUUGACAUCUGUACAUUUCAGAGGAAAGUUAGUCAGAAAAAAAACAAACUAAAGUUAUUUUUAUUAUUGUUAUUCAAUUCAGUUUAUUUCCUUGUAAAUUAUACAUUGUACAUACCAUCCUUUGGCUUUUCGUUCACAGUUUCAUUAUUCAGUUGCUCAGCAGAAAUCAGAGUCAAAGCUGGAAAAAAUGACAUGUAUGAUGUACAGUAGCACUGUUCCUCAAUAAUCAUGUCAAAAGGUCACUUGUGUGUUUUGGUCUUUUGUUCUGCUGGCCUAUCUAGUUUUACUCACUCAGAGUCCUUUCCACCUCAUCCAGGAUAAUACGACUUCCAUCACUGUCGUUCCCAUUACUCAUCCCAUUCUGGGUGAGAACAUCUGGGUUACUCAUGAGGAGUUCUUUAGCCCUCUUACUGGCUCUGGCCACGUGUCUCUUCAGUAGCUCACUGACGAGACGCCUCUGCAGUGCCUGCUUCACCUUCUUUUUGCUUUUCAACUCAUUCCUUGAACUGUCCUCAUCCAGGUGGACACCCAAAUGGAACAAUUCUAGAUUCAACUCCCACAGGUCGUAUUUCUUAACCUUUUUCUUGAUGGCAGCUGAUCCAUCAUACCUCUUUUGUCGUGCUGCUAGACAGCAGUUCAGAAACCAAAACAUCCACAUUGUAUUAAGCUACCACAAAAUCAACAAUCAACCAACUUCUAGGAAAACUUCAGAAAGAAUGACCAAGAAUGGCAGUUUUGUGGAGCUGCUGUGUUAUGUUCUACUACAUCAUAAUGUUGCUAAGCUGCCCCUGUGACAGAAACAAUAAUUUGAUGAUGACAAUGGAAUUUAAGAACAUUCCAUGGAAUGGUGUACAGUUGAGCUCAAAGAAAAGGAAAUUGAUCUUAAUGCCUUAAUUUAAACAGGAAAGUCCAACACGAAGGACACCAAUGUUAUUUGUGAAUAAAUCGUAUAUUGUAAAUAAAUCAAUGCUCUUCCUUAAAAUACAGGGGGCAUAGGCCUAUACACACCCCUAUGUCAUAGAGGCAGGAAGAUUUUUUAUUUUUAAUGGCCAGUUAUUUCUUGGAUCCAGGGGCCGGUUGCACCAACAUGUUUACGCCCGGUCUUAAGCUACGCCGGUCUUAACUCAGCGUUCUAAGUCCAACCUGAUAGAUACGCCAGUUGCACCAUCAAGGCUUAGGCCUUCUUUUCGCUAAGACCGGGCGUAAAUCUUGGGCAUGUUCUGUUAGGUAGUUCAGGUAGGUUCUGUUUUUUGUUUGUUUGUUUGUUUGUUUGUUUUGGUUGAUUAAUUCAUCAGUGCACUUGUACAUUGUAUGUCAACAAAAUAACGGUAAAACUGUAAUAUUUUUUAUCACAACAAGAAUCUGUGAUUCUAAUAAAAUAACCAUUAUGUUCUUCCUUUGUAAAUUCACAUGUCAAUCCCUUUUGUUUUUCAUUCUAUUGCUUAUUAAAUAAAAACACAACUUCUCCA